GAAGCGGCAACAGCUCAAAUUUGAAAUCUGACCCUUUGGGGUCCGAGUUGUAAUUUGCAGAGGGUGUUUCGGGCACGGUGCCGGUUUAAGUCCUUUGGAACAGGGUGUCAUAGAGGGUGAGAACCCCGUAUGUGACCGGUCGCCAAACCUAUGUGAAACCCCUUCGACGAGUCGAGUUGUUUGGGAAUGCAGCUCAAAAUGGGUGGUAAAUUUCAUCUAAAGCUAAAUAUUGGCCAGAGACCGAUAGCGCACAAGUAGAGUGAUCGAAAGAUGAAAAGCACUUUGGAAAGAGAGUCAAACAGCACGUGAAAUUGUUGAAAGGGAAGCGCUUGCGACCAGACCUGCUCGCGGGUGAUCAGCGGUGCUUUUCGCGCCGUGCACUCAUCCGCGAUCAGGCCAGCAUCGGUUCAGGCGGCCGGACAAAGACUCGGAGAAUGUAGCUCCCUCCGGGGAGUGUUAUAGCUCCUUGUGCAAUACGGCCAGCCGGGACCGAGGACCGCGC
rnacentral:rRNA from 1 species